GCUAGCAUAGCUUAACUAAAGCAUAACACUGAAGAUGUUAAGAUGGACCCUAGAAAGCCCUGCAAGCA
rnacentral:tRNA from 1 species